AUUAGAGGCGCGAUUUCAAAAAGUAUUAAAAGGCCGACGCUCAAAAGUCUAUGACCUUUUUAAGAAAGGUGCAAUCGCCGAAACAAACCCUUGUUUGAGAAAGGGCGAGUUGGGUGCAAGGAAAAGAUCUUUGCAACUGUCACAAAUUUGUGGAGUGCUUUCGU
rnacentral:ncRNA from 1 species